UACGGGGGGGGCAAGCGUUGUUCGGAAUUACUGGGCGUAAAGGGCUCGUAGGCGGCCAACUAAGUCGGACGUGAAAUCCCUCGGCUUAACCGGGGAACUGCGUCCGAUACUGGAUGGCUAGAGUUCGGGAGAGGGAUGCGGAAUUCCAGGUGUAGCGGUGAAAUGCGUAGAUAUCAGGAGGAACACCGGUGGCGAAGGCGGAUCUCUGGGCCUGUCCUGACGCUGAGGCGCGAAAGCUAGGGGAGCGAACAGG
rnacentral:rRNA from 1 species